rnacentral:rRNA from 1 species
GCGCUCGUGUGAUACGGAGUUUCAUCCGGUAAAGCGAAUGAUCAGAGGAGCUGGGCUCCUUGCGAGCUCAACCUAUUCUCAAACUUUCAAUGGGUGAGACGUCUCGCUGGCUUCACUGCAGCGACGACUCUGAAUCCGAGUGCCCAGUGGGCCACUUUUGGUAAGCAGAACUGGCGAUGCGGGAUGAACCGCAUGUCGAGUUAAGGUGCCUAAGCGAACGCAAAUCAGAUACCAUGAAAGGUGUUGAUUGCUCACGACAGCAGGACGGUGGCCAUGGAAGUCGGCAUCCGCUAAGGAGUGUGUAACAACUCACCUGCCGAAGCAAUCAGCCCUGAAAAUGGAUGGCGCUAAAGCGUUCCACCGAUACUCGACCGUCGUCGGCAGGCGACGUGCAUGCCACGUCUCAAGCCACGACGAGUAGGGCGGCGCGGUGGUGAGCGUCGAAGGCGUAGCCGUGAGGCUAGCUGGAGCCGCCAUCGGUGCAGAUCUUGGUGGUAGUAGCAAAUACACAAGCAAGAUCCUUGUGGACCGAUGUGGAGAAGGGUUCCGCGCGAACAGUACUUGGACGUGGGUGAGCCGGCCCUAAGCCAACGGGUAAUUCCCGCAUCCCGUGUUGAACGUUUCUGAAUCGAAUAACAUGGGUUGAU